UUAGACCUCAGAUCAGGCAAGACUACCCGCUGAACUUAAGCAUAUCAAUAAGCGGAGGAAAAGAAACUAACAAGGAUUCCCUUAGUAACGGCGAGCGAAGUGGGAAUAGCUCAAGCUUAAAAUCUCCGAAGCUUGCUUCGGCGAAUUGUAGUCUGUGGAAGUGUUAUCUGGCAGUAUGUUUUGGGUCUAAGUUGCCUGGAACGGCACGUCAUAGAGGGUGAUAACCCCGUCUUUGACUUACAACAGCUGUCAAUGAGGCGCUUUCCGA
rnacentral:rRNA from 1 species